UGUGGACGGCUCGUGUGGUCGACAUCACUGCAGAGGGAGUGCCAGCAACAUCAGUACAACAUCAAACACCAUCAAUUUAUGAGACAGAAGGACUCGUCUGAGCUUGUGUCUCUGCUGCUACAUGACCCGUGAUCCAGAUCCCCAACACCAGGUACUAAAGCUGUUCUGACCACGACACUAAACUGUGACGUCCACAGACGGCCGGACACUGACUGGUCACUGAAGAGUCAUGAGCGUCCGCCGCAAGAAUCAAACCGACGACCAACGCUGACGACAACCAUACUUGAGGAACCGGUGGCUCCAAUCUGAAGCACAGGCCACAUGGUUGCUUAGCGGUUAGCACUCUUGCCUUCACAGCAAGAGCCCCCAGUCAGAACGAGGGUCUUUCUGCAUGGAGUUUGCAUGUUCUCCUGUGGGUGCGUGGGCAAGAUUCUCACCAGAAGCUGGAUGGUACUGUGAUGGUGUGGAACAAAGCAAGACAUCCAACCAGCAGCAGACCACAGGUUGAGACACUUUGUUGUGUUAUGGUGUUAACUGGACAUUCCAGCAUGUUUUUAUAAAGCAACAAGGACAAACCAUGAGCUUUUCCUCUCACUAACCCAUUGCUGUUUGUGCCUAAACGUAACCACAUUCAUAAACAGGAAGUGGUUUUCAUCCCCCUCAUUUCCUCAUUCCACCCCAAAACAGGGGUAGGUUGACAUAUUGUCUACCUCUGAUGUCAAUACAGUUCCACAGCAUCAGGUUUUAUAAGCUAAUAUUUCUUAUUCAGCAUGACAAUUACAUAUGACCAAGUGUAAUGUACAUGAGCAUAUCUUUAUGAAAUCCAGUGGGUAGAGCUCAAUGCUGGAACAAGGAACAUCUGACGUCUCCAUAGUAUCACAAAACAUGUAUUAGAAGUCAAAGUGAUUUCACUUUUAAAAGCAAGUGUACAUUAUUGACUGAUGCAGGACCGGACUGGGACUGAUGCAGGACCGGACUGGGACUGAUGCAGGACCGGACUGGGACUGAUGCAGGACCGGACUGGGACCUCCGGCCGUCACCAGAUCUCGUCCAUAUUCUCUGUGUCCUAACACACAGACAGUAUUAUCAGCAGAGACAGUGUUCGUUGUAAUGGAAGUGCAGUCAAAGCUGUGUAAUAAAACCCAAAUAUACAGACGCUCACAGAACACUUUGUGUGCACAGUAAAUCAUUUCACUGCACUUUAUACUGAAGUUAGUGUAACAGUACAGUUACUGAUGGAGGAGGAGCUCCACAGCGACUGAGAGCAGCUGCUCCCAAACUCUCAAACAUGAUGGAGGCUGAGCUGCAUGUUUAUAUAUAAACACAACUGUGUGUGUGUGUGUGUGUACAUUGUGGGAUGACAGGAAGUCACCAUGGGAACUGUUAGAGGGGGGCACGGGGUUACACACGCACACACACACACGCACAGAUAAAGAGCCUUCAUGAUGUGGACAGAUGUGGAGCUCAGAUGACAGACAGUGGAGUAAGUCGGUCGUCAUCAUGUCAGCUGUCUCUCACACUUCAGUCUUUUGUUCUUUUUUCUUUCUUGUGUGGAAGGAUGUUCAGCGUGUGUUUGGACUGUUGUCGGUCCCUGAACAUGCCCUCUGCUGAGUGAAAAGAAAACUACAGGGUGUUACUUACUAAGUUUGAAUAUAUUGAACUUUGUAAUUGUUGUGAAGUGAACUGAAGUAAAAUAAAAAGCCGUCCAAUUAUUAAACAAAUGUCAAUUUAAAUGAGUACUGUUGGGGGUAAGUGACCUGAUAGGAGAAGGAAGGAAGGAGUUGCUCUCCUUCUAAAGUACACCAGUUGCG